rnacentral:rRNA from 1 species
CAUAGAGGGUGAGAAUCCCGUAUUUGACCAUUAUUUUCAGCUGUGUGAUACACUUUCAAAGAGUCGGAUUGUUUGGGAAUGCAGUCCAAAAUGGGUGGUAAAUUUCAUCUAAAGCUAAAUAUUGGCGAGAGACCGAUAGCGAACAAGUACCGUGAGGGAAAGAUGAAAAGAACUUUGAAAAGAGAGUUAAACAGUACGUGAAAUUGUCAAAAGGGAAGCGUUUGACACCAGUGUUGUUUUCUCGAAAAUCAAUUAAAAAAAGUUGGAUUUUGUGUUGUAUUGACCUUAACAGCUUGCUUCACUCUUUUCCUGCUUUUUUUAAUGCACUUUUCGUUUAACAAGUCAACAUCAGUUUCUUUUGUUGUAAAAGGGUCAUUGGAAGGUGGCUUUCUCUUCGGAGAAAGUGUUUAUAGCCUUUGAUCUCUGCAAUCGGAGAGACUGAGGUCUGCAGCGUAGAUCCUUCGGGGUUAGAUACAUUUGUGCUAAGCUACAACUUUUCAUAGACAACUUGUUGACUAUGUUUAGUCUUGUGACUUACCCGCUUAUGCUAUUUUACCUACGCUUAGGAUGUUGAA